rnacentral:ncRNA from 1 species
UUUCUUGAAUUUUUACGUUGUUAUUGAAAUUGCAUGGAAACUAUUUUGAGUAUAAGUCUAAUUCUUGAAGAACACAACUUAUUGAAAAGUAUAGAAUUUAUAAGUUAAAAAUCCCAGCAUAAGGAAUUACGCAAUUCAUGAAAAUGAGAAACGUAGUAAUAAAUUUAAAUCUGGUUAAAUAUUGUGCCAGCAGCCGCGGUUAUACUUUAAGAUUAAGUAAAAAUUAUUGGUAAAUAGUUAAACGAAAAAAUGUAAAUAAGAUUUGUAUAAUGAAAAAGUGGAAUUGAUCUUUUUAAUAAAAUUAAAUUCAUUUCAGUUGAAGCUAAAAUAAUUUAGGUUUAAACUAGGAUUAGAUACCCUACUAUACUAAAUGUAAAAAAAAUUACUAGAAUAUUAAUAGCUAUGAUCUUUAAGCUUAAAGAAUUUGGCGGUAGCUCAGUCUGGUUAGAGGAACCUGUUUUUGAAUUGAUACACCACAAAAUAUCUUACUUAUUUUUAUAAAAUUGAUUUGUAUACCGUCAUUAUUAGAUAAUUUAUUUAAAAAUCAUUAUUACUUUUUAUAAAAUUACAAAAAUUAGAUCAAGGUGCAGUUAAUAAAUAAGUUAAAAUGGGUUACAAUAAUAUAAAAUUAAAUGGAAAUAUUCGUGAAAUAGGUUUAUUGAAGGAGGAUUUAAUUGUAAUAAAAUUUUAAUAAGGUUAAAAGAUAUAAGCUCUGAGAUAUGUACAUAUUGCCCGUCGCUUUCGCUAAUAGGUGAAAUAAGUCGUAACAUAGUAGAUUUACUGGAAAGUGAAUCUGGAUUUAU